rnacentral:rRNA from 1 species
UACGUAGGGUGCAAGCGUUGUCCGGAAUUAUUGGGCGUAAAGAGCUCGUAGGCGGUUUGUCGCGUCGGCUGUGAAAACUCGGGGCUCAACCCCGAGCCUGCAGUCGAUACGGGCAGACUAGAGUGCGGUAGGGGAGACUGGAAUUCCCGGUGUAGCGGUGAAAUGCGCAGAUAUCAGGAGGAACACCGGUGGCGAAGGCGGGUCUCUGGGCCGUAACUGACGCUGAGGAGCGAAAGCGUGGGGAGCAAACAGG